AGUGGCAUAGCUGGAUCAAAUGGUGGUUGCAUUUCAAGUUUUCCAAGGAAUCUUUAUACUGCUUUCCAGAUUGACUGCACCAAUUUGCAGUCCUACCAGCAAU
rnacentral:pre_miRNA from 1 species